CUAUACAUGACUCUGCGCAUAUCAAUAAGCGGAGGAAAAGGAACUAACAAGGAUUCCCCUAGUAACGGCGAGUGAAGCGGGAAGAGCUCAAAUUUGAAAUCUUAAAGGGCUUCCCUUUACGAAUUGUAGUUUAAAGAAGUGUUUUCUGUUGAGGUUUUGGUAAAAGUUCUUUGGAAUAGGACAUCAUAGAGGGUGAGAAUCCCGUAUUUGACCUUUACUUUCAACUUUGUGAUACACUUUCAAAGAGUCGGAUUGUUUGGGAAUGCAGUCCAAAAUGGGUGGUAAAUUUCAUCUAAAGCUAAAUAUUGGCGAGAGACCGAUAGCGAACAAGUACCGUGAGGGAAAGAUGAAAAGAACUUUGAAAAGAGAGUUAAACAGUACGUGAAAUUGUCAAAAGGGAAGCGUUUGACACCAGUGUUGUUUUUCUGAAAAUCAAUUAAAGAACUGUUUAUGCUAAGUUGUUUAGACUUUAUCAGCUAUCUGUUUAGUUUUGAGCUUUUCUUUAAUGCACUUUUCAGUUAACAAGUCAACAUCAAUUUCUUUUGCUGUAAAAAAGCUUGAGGAAGGUGGCUUGAGAUUCGUCUUAAGUGUUUAUAGCCUCUUGCCUAUGCAGUCGGAGAGAUUGAGGUCUGCAGCGUAGAUCCUUCGGGGCUAAAUGCAUUUGUGCUAAGUUAUAGCAUUUUAUAGACAACUUGUUGACUAUGAUUUGUCUUGUAGCUUACUCGCUUAUGUUAUUUUACCUACGCUUAGGAUGUUGAUCUACAGAGCGAGAGU
rnacentral:rRNA from 1 species